GCCUACCAUGGUGGUAACGGGUAACGGGGUGUUAGGGCACGACACCGGAGAGGGAGCNNGAGAAACGGCUACCACAUCCAAGGAUGGCAGCAGGCGCGCAAAUUACCCAAUCCCGACACGGGGAGGUAGUGACAAUAAAUAACAAUACGGGGUUCUUUAGGAUCUCGUAAUUGGAAUGAGUACAAUUUAAAUCUCUUAACGAGGAACAAUUGGAGGGCAAGUCUGGUGCCAGCAGCCGCGGUAAUUCCAGCUCCAAUAGCGUAUAUUAAAGUUGUUGCAGUUAAAAAGCUCGUAGUUGAAUUUCGGGGUUAGUAGGUUGGUCAUGCCUCUGGUAUGUACUGGUCUCACUGAUUCCUCCUUCCUUAUGAACCGUAAUGCCAUUAAUUUGGUGUUGCGGGGAAUUUGGACUGUUACUUUGAAAAAAUUAGAGUGUUUAAAGCAAGCUAACGCUUGAAUACAUUAGCAUGGAAUAAUGAAAUAGGACGUUCGAUCUUAUUUUGUUGGUUUCUAGGAUUGACGUAAUGAUUAAUAGGGAUAGUUGGGGGCAUUAGUAUUCAAUUGUCAGAGGUGAAAUUCUUGGAUUUAUUGAAGACUAACUACUGCGAAAGCAUUUGCCAAGGAUGUUUUCAUUAAUCAAGAACGAAAGUUAGGGGAUCGAAGACGAUCAGAUACCGUCGUAGUCUUAACCAUAAACUAUGCCGACUAGGGAUCGGAUGA
rnacentral:rRNA from 1 species